UGGCACAAGAUGAUGAACGCCAGGGCAUA
rnacentral:piRNA from 1 species